rnacentral:rRNA from 1 species
AACGAACGCUGGCGGCAGGCUUAACACAUGCAAGUCGAGCGCAUCCUUCGGGGUGAGCGGCGGACGGGUGAGUAACGCGUGGGAACGUGCCCUCUUCUACGGAAUAGCCUCGGGAAACUGAGAGUAAUGCCGUAUACGCCCGCAAGGGGAAAGAUUUAUCGGAGGAGGAUCGGCCCGCGUUGGAUUAGGUAGUUGGUGGGGUAACGGCCUACCAGGCCGACGAUCCAUAGCUGGUUUGAGAGGAUGAUCAGCCACACUGGGACUGAGACACGGCCCAGACUCCUACGGGAGGCAGCAGUGGGGAAUCUUGGACAAUGGGGGCAACCCUGAUCCAGCCAUGCCGCGUGAUCGAUGAAGGCCUUAGGGUUGUAAAGAUCUUUCAGCUGGGAAGAUAAUGGCGGUACCAGCAGAAGAAGCCCCGGCUAACUCCGUG